CAGGAGUUGAAUCCUCCCCACUUAACUCAGCCUUGACAGGAAAAUGGUUUAGUCUGUCUGCAUCCGUGUCUGCCAUCGUACGUGUGUGUGUGCCCAUCAUAGCCCAUCUCACGAGAGAGGAAUGCUGGACAAGGUCACCUUAUUUGCAUAUUGUGGGUCUUCCAGCCCACUGCUGCACCUAUAUAAAGGCCCCUCCUGGAGGCAGUUGUUGUUGUUGUUGUUGUUGUUGGUGGUGGUGGU